AAGGGCUCUCGACGUGCUCUGCUCAACACUUCCUAGUUACUAUCUUGUCAAGUACUUACAACAUACCAGGAAGGUGUGUAGAAAUUUCUACUGCUCUCUUUUUACAGAUAGUGAAGCCAAGUCUAAAAGAGGUUAUAUAACUUGUCCCAAGUCCCCCAGCUGGGAUUGGAGGCCUCCCCACAACAGCUCUGGGUCCGAACGAAGCCCAGGCUCCUCUCAGCCGCCAGUCCAGACCAGUCCCUCCCUGAUGGAGCCUGAGGGGCUCCAGGUGCUUUGCUGUAAGGUGGGUGCCCUUGUUGGCCAUAGUGGUGUCUGUGCAGGGGUGCUCUGGGGACACCCAGGUGACUGCUGGUGGGAGGCAGUGCUGUGAUCACAAGCCCUUCCUUCCAGUAGUUGACACCUCUGCUUUGGCCCUGGUUGGGGGCUUCCAAUCCUCAUGAGUGUUGCUGCUCCCAGGAUCUGUGGGACUCCUGGCCUGCGCUUUAUCAAGCCUGGGCUCAAAGCAGGGUGAAGUGGCCCAUGUGAAGGGGCAGGUCCUGGGCCAGGCCUAUGACCUCUGCAGCCCUUCCCAGCCUCAGCCUCAGCCUCAGCUCCUGCUCCGUGAAAUGGCACAGAGUGCCAGGAAAGCAGUGUCCAGGAGGACAGAAGUCUGGGAAUGUGGGUGUGAAGACGCAGGACUCAGCCAAACCAGGAGGGAAGGACCCAUGCCAGACAUGCCUGAUACCACGCAUCAUCCCUUCUGUCUACCUUGUGGGCUUAAAGCAUCUGAAAAGGUACAAGACAGCCCAAAGAGCGCUUGUUGAAAUAAAUGGCUCUCGGUCAAUGUCUGUUUGA
rnacentral:lncRNA from 1 species